UGAACGCUAGCGGCAGGCCUAACACAUGCAAGUCGAGGGGCAGCACAGGUAGCAAUACUGGGUGGCGACCGGCGGAUGGGUGCGUAACGCGUAUGCAACCUACCAUUGAUUGGGGCAUAGCCCGAAGAAAUUCGGAUUAAUACUCCAUAAUAUUCAUCAAAGGCAUCUUUUAUGAAUUAAAGCUUUUGCGAUCAAUGAUGGGCAUGCGUGACAUUAGUUAGUUGGUGAGGUAACGGCUCACCAAAACGAUGAUGUCUAGGGGUUCUGAGAGGAUUAUCCCCCACACUGGUACUGAGACACGGACCAGACUCCUACGGGAGGCAGCAGUGAGGAAUAUUGGUCAAUGGACGCAAGUCUGAACCAGCCAUGCCGCGUGCAGGAUGACGGCCCUAUGGGUUGUAAACUGCUUUUCCAGGGAGAGAAACUUACGCACGUGUUGCGUGACUGACGGUACCCUGGGAAUAAGCAUCGGCUAACUCCGUG
rnacentral:rRNA from 1 species